CCUACGGGAGGCAGCAGUGAGGAAUAUUGGUCAAUGGGCUUACGCCUGAACCAGCCAAGUCGCGUGAGGGAAGACUGCCCUAUGGGUUGUAAACCUCUUUUGUCAGGGAGCAACGCCGGCUACGUGUAGCCGGACUGAGCGUACCUGACGACAAAGCAUCGGCUAACUCCGUGCCAGCAGCCGCGGUAAUACGGGGGAUUCGAGCGUUAUCCGGAUUUAUUGGGUAUAUAGGGUGCGUAGGCGGAAUGCCAAGUCAGGGGUAAAAUCGCGGGGCUCAAACUCGCUCCGCCGUGGAAACUGGCGGUCAUGAGUGGGCGAGAAGUAUGCGGAAUGCGUGGUGUAGCGGUGAAAUGC
rnacentral:rRNA from 1 species